AACGAACGCUGGCGGCAUGCCUAACACAUGCAAGUCGAACGAGACCUUCGGGUCUACUGGCGCACGGGUGCGUAACGCGUCGGAACCUUCCCUUAGAUUCGGAAUAACUCCCCGACAGGGGUGCUAAUACCGGAUAAUGUCUUCUAACCAAAGAUUUAUCGCCUUUGGAUGGGCCCGCGUUGGAUUAGCUAGUGGGUAGUGUAAAAGCCUACCACGGCGACGAUCCAUAGCUGGUCUGAGAGGCUGAUCCGCCACACUGGGACUGAGACACGGCCCAGACUCCUACGGGAGGCAGCAGUGGGGAAUAUUGGAAAAUGGGCGAAAGCCUGAUCCAGCAAUGCCGCGUGAGUGAUGAAGGCCUUAGGGUUGUAAAGCUCUUUUACCCGGGAUGAUAAUGACAGUACCGGGAGAAUAAGCUCCGGCUAACUCCGUG
rnacentral:rRNA from 1 species